UACGUAGGUGGCAAGCGUUGUCCGGAUUUACUGGGCGUAAAGAGCGCGCAGGCGGUCGGAUAAGUCGAAUGUGAAAGCCCCUGGCUCAACCAGGGAGGGUCAUUCGAUACUGUUCGACUCGAAGGCAGGAGAGGGAAGCGGAAUUCCGGGUGUAGUGGUGAAAUGCGUAGAUAUCCGGAGGAACACCAGUGGCGAAGGCGGCUUUCUGGCCUGUUCUUGACGCUGAGGCGCGAAAGCCAGGGGAGCGAACAGG
rnacentral:rRNA from 1 species